GCCCCAGUAGCUCAGUGGAUAGAGCAGCGGCCUUCUAAUCCGACGGUCGGGGGUUCGACUCCCUCCUGGGGCACCA
rnacentral:tRNA from 1 species